rnacentral:rRNA from 1 species
AUUGAACGCUGGCGGCGGGCCUAACACAUGCAAGUCGAGCGAGCGGCGGACGGGUGAGUAAUGUAUGGGAAUCUGCCUGAUAGAGGGGGAUAACUACUGGAAACGGUGGCUAAUACCGCAUACUAUCGGAGGCACCCAUAUGGGAUUAGCUAGUAGGUGGGGAAAUGGCUCACCUAGGCGACGAUCUCUAGCUGGUCUGAGAGGAUGACCAGCCACACGGGAAAUGAGACACGGCCCAGACUCCUACGGGAGGCAGCAGUGGGGAAUAUUGCACAAUGGGCGCAAGCCUGAUGCAGCCAUGCCGAGUGUAUGAAGAAGGCCUUAGGGUUUUAAAGUACUUUCAGCUGGGAGGCGUUACCCGCAGAAGAAGCACCGGCUAACUCCGUGCCAGCAGCCGCGGUAAUUC